CUGAAUUCAAGGAUAAAGUCAAGGAGUCUGGCGAAAAGAUUUAUGACAAAGUCCAUGAUGGUGUUGAGGCUGGAAAAAAUAAAAUUUCUGAGGCCUACGAUAAAACAAAGGAGAAGAUAAAGGAAACUGGUGAAAAAGUAUACAACAAAGUGCAUGAGGGAAUUGAGGCUGGAAAGGAUAAACUGUCUGAAGCAUAUGAGAAAGUUAAAGAGAAGGUAGAAGAAAUUAAGCAAAAAGUUACCGAUGGAUAUGAAGCAGCAAAAGACGAAAUACAUAAUGAGGCUGAGAAAAUAAAGGAGGUAUGUAACAAAUGUUACUAAAUAUUGUUUACUGAUAAACAUGUUCUUAAAUUCUAUAUUUAAUUGAAAAUGUCAUAUUAAUUUAGGGCGUUCAAUUUCAGAAUGUACAGGAAUUGAAAGAUGAGGUCAAAGAGGAGAUAAAGAAAGGACAAGAAGAAGUUAAACACACUUAUGAAAAAGCAACAUCUGAGUAAUGUCACAGUUUAACUAAUUAUUGGACCAAGUUCGAACAAUCCUGGAUAAUUCUGCAGCUGCCUUUUACAUUCAGCACUAUAAAACAAUUACUAUGUAAUAUAAGUUUUUGAAAUAAAAAUAAAAAGAAUAUAAUUUCUAUUAUUCUGAUUAUACUGAAAACUUACUCAAACCCAGUAAAUAUAAAAUUGAAAAUAUAUUGUUCAUUUAAGAUUGAAACAGUCGUUUCCUUGUCAAUAGAAAACUACAUGAAGUAACUGAUUUUUUCCCAUUAAGAACAAUUAAAUUUUCGUAGGUAUAUAACCUCUAGAUAUUACAGGAAAUUUCAUGGCUUA